rnacentral:lncRNA from 1 species
GGAAAAAGAUAGGACUUACAACUACUGAAUACGGGGUAGUAGCCAUACUCUGGUGGGAAUAACCAUAAAUUAGGGUUUACAUCUACCGAAUACUGGGUAGAAGACCAACAACUCCGCGUGGGGAUGGAAUGAAUCACAAAUCCGCACGGGAAACGGAGAUAGGGUUUAUAACAAACCACACACUGCUGGAGAGCAGGCAAAC